UAAGCGGUUGAAGGUGUGUGGUAACGCAUGCUGGACGUAUCAGAAGUGCGAAUGCUGACAUGAGUAACGAUAAAGGGGGUGAAAAACCUCCUCGCCGGAAGACCAAGGGUUCCUGUCCAACGUUAAUCGGGGCAGGGUAAGUCGACCCCUAAGGCGAGGCCGAAAGGCGUAGUCGAUGGGAAACGGGUUAAUAUUCCCGUACUUCUUACAAUUGCGAUGG
rnacentral:rRNA from 1 species